rnacentral:rRNA from 1 species
UAGAGAGAGACAUGCGCGCAUAUCAAUAAGCGGAGGAAAAGAAACUAACUAGGAUUCCCUCAGUAACGGCGAGUGGAGCGGGAAGAGCUCAAAUUUGAAAUCUUCAAGGUUUUACCUUGACGAAUUGUAGUUUAAAGAAGUGUUUUCUGUUGGAGUUUUGGUAAAAGUUCUUUGGAAUAGGACAUCAUAGAGGGUGAGAAUCCCGUAUUUGACCAUUAUUUCCAGCUUUGUGAUACACUUUCAAAGAGUCGGAUUGUUUGGGAAUGCAGUCCAAAAUGGGUGGUAAAUUUCAUCUAAAGCUAAAUAUUGGCGAGAGACCGAUAGCGAACAAGUACCGUGAGGGAAAGAUGAAAAGAACUUUGAAAAGAGAGUUAAACAGUACGUGAAAUUGUCAAAAGGGAAGCGUUUGACACCAGUGUUGUUUUUCUGAAAAUCAAUUAAAGAACUGUUUAUGCUAAGUUGUUUAGACUUUAUCAGCUAACUGUUUAGUUUUGAGCUUUUCUUUAAUGCACUUUUCAGUUAACAAGUCAACAUCAAUUUCUUUUGCUGUAAAAAAGCUUGAGGAAGGUGGCUUGAGAUUCGUCUUAAGUGUUUAUAGCCUCUUGCCUAUGCAGUCGGAGAGAUUGAGGUCUGCAGCGUAGAUCCUUCGGGGCUAAAUGCAUUUGUGCUAAGUUAUAGCAUUUUAUAGACAACUUGUUGACUAUGAUUUGUCUUGUAGCUUACUCGCUUAUGUUAUUUUACCUACGCUUAGGAUGUUGAGCGCAUGUCUCUCUCU